rnacentral:rRNA from 1 species
UGGGGAAUCUUGGACAAUGGGGGCAACCCUGAUCCAGCCAUGCCGCGUGAGUGAUGAAGGCCUUAGGGUCGUAAAGCUCUUUCGCCUGUGAAGAUAAUGACGGUAGCAGGUAAAGAAACCCCGGCUAACUCCGUGCCAGCAGCCGCGGUAAUACGGAGGGGGUUAGCGUUGUUCGGAAUUACUGGGCGUAAAGCGCACGUAGGCGGACCAGAAAGUUGGGGGUGAAAUCCCGGGGGCUCAACCCCGGAACUGCCUCCAAAACUAUUGGUCUAGAGUUCGAGAGAGGUGAGUGGAAUUCCAAGUGUAGAGGUGAAAUUCGUAGAUAUUUGGAGGAACACCAGUGGCGAAGGCGGCUCACUGGCUCGAUACUGACGCUGAGGUGCGAAAGUGUGGGGAGCAAACAGGAUUAGAUACCCUGGUAGUCCACGCCGUAAAACGAUGGGUGCUAGGUGUUGGGUAGCUUGCUAUUCGGUGACACACC